GUUAAGGUAGCAAAGUCAGGCCAUGCAAGAGGCUUAAAACCUUGAUACAGAUGUUCAAAUCAUCUCCUUAAUA
rnacentral:tRNA from 1 species